ACCUGGGAUAGUUCAGUUGGUAGAUCACGAGACUCUCGCGAUCUCAGAGUUGUGGGUUCGAGCACCACAUUGGGCA